UACGAAGGGGGCUAGCGUUGCUCGGAAUCACUGGGCGUAAAGGGUGCGUAGGCGGGUCUUUAAGUCAGGGGUGAAAUCCUGGAGCUCAACUCCAGAACUGCCUUUGAUACUGAGGAUCUUGAGUUCGGGAGAGGUGAGUGGAACUGCGAGUGUAGAGGUGAAAUUCGUAGAUAUUCGCAAGAACACCAGUGGCGAAGGCGGCUCACUGGCCGAUAUUGACGCUGAGGAGCGAAAGCCAGGGGAGCAAACGGG
rnacentral:rRNA from 1 species